rnacentral:rRNA from 1 species
UAGAUUGAUCUGGCUAGGGAUGAACGCUAGCGACAGGCUUAACACAUGCAAGUCGAGGGGCAGCGGGGAAGUAGCAAUACUUCCGCCGGCGACCGGCGCACGGGUGAGUAACACGUAUGCAACCUGCCCUUGUCAGGGGGAUAAUCGGAAGAAAUUCCGUCUAAUACCGCAUAACGCCCCGUGGAGACAUCUCCAGAGGGCCAAAGAUUUAUCGGACAAGGAUGGGCAUGCGGCGCAUUAGUUAGUUGGCGGGGUAACGGCCCACCAAGACGACGAUGCGUAGGGGUUCUGAGAGGAAGGUCCCCCACACUGGUACUGAGACACGGACCAGACUCCUACGGGAGGCAGCAGUGAGGAAUAUUGGUCAAUGGCCGAGAGGCUGAACCAGCCAAGUCGCGUGAGGGAAGACGGUCCUAUGGAUUGUAAACCUCUUUUGCCGGGGAGCAAAAUCGUCCACGCGCUGGACGUUCGAGAGUACCCGGAGAAAAAGCAUCGGCUAACUCCGUGCCAGCAGCCGCGGUAAUACGGAGGAUGCGAGCGUUAUCCGGAUUUAUUGGGUUUAAAGGGUGCGUAGGCGGACUGUUAAGUCAGCGGUAAAAUCGAGAGGCUCAACCUCUUCCCGCCGUUGAAACUGGCAGCCUUGAGUGGGCGAGAAGUAUGCGGAAUGCGUGGUGUAGCGGUGAAAUGCAUAGAUAUCACGCAGAACUCCGAUUGCGAAGGCAGCAUACCGGCGCCCAACUGACGCUGAAGCACGAAAGCGUGGGUAUCGAACAGGAUUAGAUACCCUGGUAGUCCACGCAGUAAACGAUGAAUGCUAAUUGUCCGGGCCGAAUGAGGUCUGGGUGAUACAGUGAAAGCGUUAAGCAUUCCACCUGGGGAGUACGCCGGCAACGGUGAAACUCAAAGGAAUUGACGGGGGCCCGCACAAGCGGAGGAACAUGUGGUUUAAUUCGAUGAUACGCGAGGAACCUUACCCGGGCUCAAACGACACAGGAAUACUUUUGAAAGGAGGUAGCCCUACGGGGCCUGUGUCGAGGUGCUGCAUGGUUGUCGUCAGCUCGUGCCAUGAGGUGUCGGCUUAAGUGCCAUAACGAGCGCAACCCCCAUCCGUAGUUGCCACCGCGUGAAGGCGGGCACUCUGCGGAGACUGCCGGCGCAAGCUGAGAGGAAGGCGGGGAUGACGUCAAAUCAGCACGGCCCUUACGUCCGGGGCGACACACGUGUUACAAUGGCAGGUACAGCGGGAAGCCACCUGGCGACAGGGAGCGGAACCCGAAAGCCUGUCUCAGUUCGGAUCGGAGUCUGCAACUCGACUCCGUGAAGCUGGAUUCGCUAGUAAUCGCGCAUCAGCCACGGCGCGGUGAAUACGUUCCCGGGCCUUGUACACACCGCCCGUCAAGCCAUGGAAGUCGGGAGUGCCUGAAGUGCGCCUUAAACAGCGCCCUAAGGUAAAACUGAUGACUGGGGCUAAGUCGUAACAAGGUAACCGUA